UUUUUGUAGAGACGGGGUUUCACCACGUUGGUCAGGCUGGUCUUGAACUCCUGACCUCAGGUGAUCUGCCCGUCUUGGCCUCCCAAAGUGCUGGGAUUACAGGCAUGAGCCACCGUGCCCCGCUAAUCUGUGGGGCUGUUUAAACUGAGUGGUGUCAGCUGUUCUGCUGGAAUUCAGAAUCUGCAUAAAGCCUUAUGAUUCAAAUGUCAGAGAUCUGCACUAUGGGAACAAUGGGAAUGCAAAUGCAUGUGGACCAUGUUUUCAGUCUUUCCAGUUGAUUGUGGCCUCCAAGAAGAGCAUAAUUUCCAUUUGAUCUGUAAUACUUCCCUUAUCCUUUGUGUGAUCUCAGAAAUAAAAGAAGGAUUAUCGUUGCUUGGUAUAGAGCAAGGAAGUCCAAAAAUAGAGGAAUGAUUUCUUUUAACAGAGGCUCAGCUACUUCUACAGCUUUCUCAGACUCGCUCGGGUAGGCUUCACCCUCUUGCUCAGAUUUCCUGGGCUCUGAGAAAAGGAGAAGGACACAGACUCUGCUCUUCAGAUCCACACACAGAUCCCCACUACAACCACUGACCUAAACUCGGAGUCUGAGUAGGAUCUCCCCAGCCAGGUGGGACUGAAGUGGAGUCUCUGGAGCCACCCAUCAGUAGCCUUAUUACUCAGAAGACACUGACGAAGACCCAGACAGGAAGAAAAGAAGAAAAAGCAUCCUGACUGAUACAUUAGCAAAGCCACAGCCCUGGAGAGCAAGGGGUGGGGCAUGGCAGACAACAGUGCCCAUGGCAUGCAUCUGCAGCUUGUGAACAAUAAACGAAAACAGGAAUCAUGCAACAGCAUUGCCUUCGGCAUCCAUGUGUUUAUGGCUGUCAUGGGGGGCAUGAUAGAGGAGGAUGGAUCAGCACCAGCUCUACAGGCUGCCUAACCUGGAAGUCAGUCUCUGCCUUUAGACCUGCUCACUUCUUUUGGGAAUGGAGAUAUCCACUGAACCCUUGUCCUACAACCUCAAAUAACGUCUUUGCAAAAGGCUUCUGUUAAACUCCAGAAGGCCCUGGAAUAACUUAAUUGGAAAAUGUCUGGUAGAGGACUUUUGGCCCCGUUCCCCAGCCAUGUGGAAAGGGCCUAAUUCCCGAAAAGGAAGGCCCUUCCUCCCCCACAGGGAGGGUCCCUUAUCUCACUCUAUCCUGGCCCGGCC